GACGAACGCUGGCGGCGUGCUUAACACAUGCAAGUCGAACGGAAAGGCCCUGCUUUUGUGGGGUGCUCGAGUGGCGAACGGGUGAGUAACACGUGAGUAACCUGCCCUUGACUUUGGGAUAACUUCAGGAAACUGGGGCUAAUACCGGAUAGGAGCUCCUGCUGCAUGGUGGGGGUUGGAAAGUUUCGGCGGUUGGGGAUGGACUCGCGGCUUAUCAGCUUGUUGGUGGGGUAGUGGCUUACCAAGGCUUUGACGGGUAGCCGGCCUGUGGGGGUGACCGGCCACAUGGGGACUGCGAUACGGCCCAGACUCCUACGGGAGGCAGCAGUGGGGAAUAUUGCACAAUGGGCGGAAGCCUGAGGCAGCAACGCCGCGUGCGGGAUGACGGCCUUCGGGUUGUAAACCGCUUUCGCCUGUGACGAAGCGUGAGUGACGGUAAUGGGUAAAGAAGCACCGGCUAACUACGUG
rnacentral:rRNA from 1 species